rnacentral:tRNA from 1 species
GCCACGGUGGUCUAGUGGUUAGAACGUUGGCCAUGUAAGCCUGGGGUCCCGGGUUCAAUUCCCGGUGGUGCUC